UGAAACACGGACCAAGGAGUCUAACAUGUGCGCGAGUCAUGGGGUUGUAAACCCAAAGGCGUAAUGAAAGUAAAGGUCAAUUCGGUUGACCGAGGUGAGAUCCCCGCAAGGGGCGCAUCACUGUCCCAUCGCAUCUACUUGUUAGAGCGGUGGAGAAAAAGCGUACACGUUGGGACCCGAAAGAUGGUGAACUAUGCCUGAGCAGGAUGAAGUCAUCGGAAACGGUGAUGGAGGUCCGUAGCGGUUCUGACGUGCAAAUCGAUCGUCAGACUUGGGUAUAGGGGCGAAAGACUAAUCGAACCAUCUAGUAGCUGGUUCCCUCCGAAGUUUCCCUCAGGAUAGCUGGCACUUAAACGCAGUUUUACCCGGUAAAGCGAAUGAUUAGAGGCCUUGGGGACGAAACGACCUCAACCUAUUCUCAAACUUUAAAUGGGUAAGAAGUCUCGCUUGCCUGACCGAAGCUCAGACAUUGAAUGCGAGUGCCAAGUGGGCCAUUUUUGGUAAGCA
rnacentral:rRNA from 1 species